CCUCCUUCUUGGCGUACUCGUGGUUGUUUUGUGUGCCCUUGUAUGUAUGUAGGGAGGAAUAAUAGAGCCAGUGCAAUGUCUUCGGUGCCAGCAUGUUCCCAUCGGCUGGUUCUAUCCUCAAUCACUGGAACACGU
rnacentral:snoRNA from 1 species